rnacentral:tRNA from 1 species
AGGCUUUGUAGUGUAAAUUAGCACGUUAGAUUGCAAAUUUGAAGGUGUGGUGAAGACUACCUUAGCUUA